UACACGUAUAUGUACACGUAUACGUGUAUACGUGUAUAUAUACAUAUAUACAUAUAUGCAUACAUAUAUAUAUACGGGCAAAGACUUAAUAUACUAUCCACAGGCUAUUCAGAUUGUUCAAGAGGCUCUCAGUUGAAGAAGCAAACAGACAAACAAAACGGUUUCAUACACAGGCAGACAUUUGGCUGAAUAGGUCGGCAGGAUAUGGAAACUUGCUUUGAGGUGUUUUUGGCUUCUCACCUAGAAUUCUACUACUUAAUGGCUGUGUGGCUUCUUUGCAGGCUAUAUACUGAAUUCAUAAAGGAUGUUAUGAGAGUAAAUUCAAAGAAUUCUGAUGUUUUGAAAUUUGUUGUGACUUGGUUAACUAUGGUGAAAUGUUAACAUUCGUGUUACAUUAUGGCUUUUGUUUAUACGGGUCUGAUUAUGGGAUAACAAUGAAGUUUUAAAAAACUCUAUGUUUUUCAAAAAUUCUGUGUUUUUCUUAUGUGAAGAAUUUGUUUCAACUAUUCUUCAAACACCAGAAAAGGAGCCACCGUAUACUUUACUUUUCAUAUAAAGAUUACUCAAUAUAUUUUAAAAUGGGUGUUCCAGAAUUAGACUUCCAGAUUCCUUGAAUUGAGAGUGUGGAAAAGGAUAGGCAGCUCCUGUAAUAGGAGACAUUCUUUUAAAAGCCUGGAAUGCUGAAACGCUCUUAGACUGAAAACAUGUCAGGACAUGCCUUUUUGGGAUACUGUCAAACGGUUUAGGCUCAGAAUUCCACAUUCCGUACUUUUGAAGUUGUUUUCUGUUGGCAAAUGACCUCUUGAUUAUUUUCAUGUGGUGAGUAUUCAGGCCAACCUUUUUGGUUCCAAGUGAUUUAAAAACACACACACACACACACAUAAAAACAAACCACUCUGAAGUGUCCAUAUUUUAGCAUGAAGUUAGGAAUUAUGCGAGUGCUGGGUGUAUCACGGUCAAUUCUGUGAGCCUCGUCACAGUUUAUAGCCGAAGUCAGAGGCUUCAAAAUCAGACACACAUUGACCUGGAAUGCUUUAUUCUGCAGUGCUCAUUCUUGAUUCUCAGAAUUAUCGCUCCUGUGAAAAACUUGUCACCAUUAGGGAGCUGUCAUUUCCCUGGUAAAAUUAAACAGCAAUUUCAUUCACCUUUGCUCCUUUUUGGAUGAAGGCUGGCAAUGGUUUAAGGAACAAAUAAAUGAAUGAAUAAAUGAGUGGAGUUCCCUCCUCCUGACUCAGAAAGGUGCUAUUUCCCCUCACGCAGGAGAUACAACUUCCAUGCAAGCCAGUUCUCCCACUACAUAGAGCCCUUCUGUUUUUAGGAAGUUCUGAUUCAUGGAUUGGAGAAUUGAACUAAAUUAGUAUACUGUACAGCAUGGGCCUGGUUAAAUUAAACAUAAAUGCUCUGCCCCCUGCCACCCACCUCACUCUGACCACGGAGAGUUCAUUUAACAGGCGCCACUGUCUGUGAGACCCAAACAAAGGUAGCUGACUUCAAACCCUGUCUACAUUUGCCUUAUUAUAGACCAUGUGUUAGUAGAUGUUGUAAUACUUUUUAUGAACCAGUAGGAUUCUCAGAAUGCUUCAAAACAGGCAUGAUAUUGGGUGAUGAUUUUUUUUUAAGUCUCAUCUCGAUUUAAUUUUGUGAGAAUUUUUUAAAAUUGUCUGUUUUAUUGAGAAAUUGCUCAGAGAUCAUAUACAAUGAGAAACUCGGCUAGAAGAAGAUAAACAAAACAAGUAUAACAGAGACAACGUUCUUUUAAAACAUUUCAUUUUGCAGACCAAUAAUAAAACUUGUAAAUCUUUUAAAAAUACUUUUCUUAUGGUGUAUAAAUUCUGAUAUUUUACCUGAAGCUAAUAAAGCCACCAUAGAGAAGAAAGUUAAUUUUUUCUUCUUUAAGCUUUCCAUAGGUAGUAUAAUUUAAAUAAUUCUGUGGUACAGUUUCAACACCUCAGAUUGAGCACUUUUGUUUACGAAGUAAGAACAGUAAUCCUCAUGUAAAAAGGUGGUAUUGCUACCCUAGACAGCAGAUGGUGUUAUUAAAUACACAGGCAAAGUCUAAGGUCAUAAGGAACUAACAAUUAACCAGAAAUACGAUCUGUCACAGUCGUUUAAUGGGUAAACUAACAGAUAUAUACCACUUGUAUUCUUCUGAGUGGUGGGAGGUAAAUAGUCAAGCUUCAGAGCAGUUGCACAAUCGUUUAGAAAUAUUGUAAUUAUAUUCUUAUUUAAGCAUUUAGGGAAACCAACAAGCCAGACAGAAAGUGAAAAUCAGUGUGAUUUCCUCAUAAUACUGUGUCCUGUUAAUCUGCUUUGAAAAAUACUUUACAAAUUCAGACAGCACAAUUUCAUAGCUAUCCCUGAAUCUAACUCGUCUCCCCAAACUAGGAAUGUCAAAAUUUUGAAUUUUUUACUGCCAGUCUGAGUUGUUCUAAGAUCUCUUUACAUUAUCAUAGGUAUAAUUUUUGCCCCUGAAGUUUUCGUCGUGUGAAGGUAAAAAAUUGGAGCAUACACAACAGCAAAUGGAAGCAGGGUGGCAGGAGACAGCUGGGAAACUGUAGUGGGGAGGAGAGGCAGUCAGCUGGUGGGGUGGACCGUAGGAAGAGAAUGGUCUCACCGGUAAGGAAUGGGUGGCACUAUUAAAAUCUGGAUAUGGGCUCAAUUUCUAUUGUAAAUCAAAUAUAAAUCUAUCACUAAAAUAGGAGCUGGAUACACAGUGCCCAAGUCCUCGUGAGAGUUUCCCAAGAAGGGUUUACCAUGGAGAACGUGUCAUCAGUUCCUUUUCAGUUAGGGCUUUUGAGGAUGAGGAACUGAAUUCUAAAUUCACCCAAAGGAAAAAUGGCCAACAGGGCAGCAACUAAGCCUGGAUCACAAAGAACAAACUGCUUGGUUAGAAUUUGGAAGAGUGGCUGGGUGCAGUAGUAAUAUAAUCCCAGCACUCUGGGAGGCUGAGGCGGGAGGAUCACUGGAGGCCAGGAGUUUGAGACCGGCCUGGGCAACAUAGCAAGACCCCCAUCUCUACAAAAAAAAUACAAAAAUCAAGGCCAGGUAGAGUGGCUUACACCUGCAAUCCCAGGACUUUGGGAGGCUGGGGUGUCUACCAAAAAAUUAAAAAUUAGCCAGGUGUGGUGGUAGUGCAUACCUGUAGUCCCAGCUACUAAGCAGGCUGAGGCAGGUGGAUUGCUUGAGCCCAGGAGGUUGAUGCUACAGUGAUCCAUGAACCAUGAUCACGCCACUGCACUCCAGCCUGGGGAACAAAGCGAGACCCAGUCUCAAAAAAAAAAAAAAAAAAAAAAAAAAAAAAAGUUUGGAAGAGUGAACCUUGUCCCAUAGGCAAAUAACUACGAAGCAUACCCAAGAGUCAUGACUCUAGCCAUUGUGUCAACCAAUUGUAAAAACAGCAUCUGGAAAAGCAAAAACAUCCUCAGUGCCCCAGGUGAAUAGAAGAUGAACAAUGAAAAGCAAGGUUCAGAGGUCACUGGCUGAUCAGGGUAAAAAAGUGGGUAGAUUCCAAUCUUCAGACAAAAACUAUUCUUAAAAGACAAAAAGUUAUUCAGUUUCCUUGCUGUUGGAUUUGGUGAGGAUGUCUGAGUCCCAGAAAAUGCAUACUAAUAAGGACUUUUUUCUUAUACAGUUUCAUGCAUUUAUAUAUGUUUAUUUAAAUUUCUCUAAAUUUAAUUUGAAUAAGGCAGGCAACAGCAUCUCAGGGCACAGACUCAUAACUGGAGACCUUCAUCCACAAGCUUAGCUAGCUAGAUUUUCCGUGUGGCCAGGACGCCUGCUGAAACUUCCAGCAGUCCUCAGAAAAACUGAUGAGAUACCCUUGGGCUGAAUGAGUAAGAACUUUCUGGAGAGUGGAAAACUGGUGAAAGUCCAGCUGGAAAAACAUAUGGCAGCAGAGGCGGAAAGAGUGCUUUAUGACCGGGAGCUUUAUAAAAAAAAUGUCUGAAGGCUCAAGGCAGCCGUUACAACCUAAGAUCCUACUAAGCAUGAUGGAUGUUUUUACUUCUAGGAUUGUCUCCAAUUUACCUGGACCACAGCCAGCACCGUAUCCUCAGGCACCCCAUGGGACAGUACAUACAGAAGAACAGCAUCGCACCACAUCCCAUCACCAAGGCCAGGAUUCUGUGCCUCCGCCCCCCUCCCCACCUCCUUGAAACGGGGGAAGUAGGGGGAAGAGUCAAUUCUUCUUGGAGCACAUGAGAUGGUAGCUUGCUGUGUUGUCCUGAAAGAAAACAAAGUUUGUAAAUCACUGUAGAUAGUUUUUUUUUUUUUUUUGUAAUAGAUAUGUCGGGAGGGAAAAUGACUAUGGUAAAUUCCAUUCUCAACCACACAUUAACUCAGAGAAUUCUUGAGCUACACAGUGACAGACUGAGCUCAAGGAGAAAGACAGGCAUUCUGAGUUUCAGACUACGGAGCCAUUUGGAGGUGACAUGUACAGAACAAUGCACAGCUUUGAGAUUUUAUAUUGGUCCUUCCCUGCCCAAUGUCAUUUCCAAAGUAAUAGAAAGGAAUAUUUUAUUUUUUCAUGUUAACUCUUCAUUAUAAUCAUCUCUUAUUGCAAUGACCAUUUGUAUCUGUUACUGAGAACAGGUAUAACUAGCUUUAAGAACAUCCUACAUGGAAUCAUAUAUUCCUUAGAAAGAAAUCAAUUAAGAGGUGAUUAUUCACAAUUACAAAAGGACCCUUUAUAAAGUCUGUAAUUUACCACAGGUUUAAAGAAAAGUACAGUUGACCUUUGAACAACACAGGUUUGAAUGGCACAGGUACAUGCAUUGAUUUUCUCUUGCUUCUGCCACCCCUAAGACAAAGAGACCAACCCCUGCUCUUCCUCCUCCUCCUCAGCCUACUUCACUUAAAGACAAAGAGAAUGAAGACCUUUAUGAUGAUCCACUUCCACUUAAUCAAUAGCAAAUAUAUUUUCUUUUCUGUUUUUGAGACAGAGUCUCACUCUGUUGCCCAGGAUGGCACAAUCUCAGCUCACUGCAACCUCCACCUCCUGGGUUCAAGCAAUUCUCCUGCCUCAGCCUCCCGAGUAGCUGGGAUUAUAGGCACCCGCCACCACGCCCGGCUAAUUUUUGUAUUUUUAGUAGAGACUGGGUUUCACCAUGUUGGCCAGGCUGGUCUCGAACUCCUGACCUCAAGUGAUCUGCCCGCCUGAGCCUCCCAAAAUGCUGGGACUACAGGUCUGAGCCACUGUGCCCAGCCCCUCUUCUUUACAAUUUUCUUAAUAACAUUUUCUUUUCUCUAGCUUCCUUUUUCUGUAAGAAUACAUUAUAUAAUAAGACACAUACAAAAUCUGCAUUCAUGGACUCUUUAUGUUAUUUGUAAGACUUCUAGUCAACAGGUAGGCUAUUAGUAGUUAAGUUUUUGGAGAGUCAAAGUUAAACUCAGAUUUUUGAAUUCACGGGGGUUGGCACCCUGACUUCCAUGUUGUUCAAGGUCAAAUGUACUUAAAUAGUAUUAGAUUUUUUAAAUGUAAUCAACGUAGACUUGUUAAAGCUCCGCACAAGUUGCUUUGGAGAGGCAAGCAUGUGGACCUCUUUUCAUGGAUGCCUCAGCGGUGGCAUCUGUAAUGUAGCCAUUGCAGACACCACUGUUUUUCUUCAACAGAAAAUACUGUCUCCCUUUCGGCUUCUCUGAUGGAUGUUUCACCACUAUUUUACUUAAGCUGUGUUGACAGUAGAAGCAGCAAUUACUGUAGUCACAAAAAUCAGGGCCUACCUUUAUUACCCGAUCAUUAUGACAAUUAUCGCCCCCCCCCCACCCCGCCCCGUUUUCUCUUUGUCCGUGCACACACAUUUCCAAGGCAUGUAUUUUCAUUACCAGACAGAGAAGGGCCUACAGGUCAAUUGCACACACUCCGUACUGAUAAAGUAAUGUCAUUAACUUUUGAUUUUUAAAAAAAAGCAAAUGACAGUCCUCUAUUCCUGGAUUGUGUUUUUCGUCUUAGGUACUCAAGUAAAAACCAAGAUGGUGUCUCUCUCUCUCUCUCUCUCUCCCUCUCUCUCUCUCUCUCUCUCUCUCUAUAUAUAUAUAUAUGCACACACACACACACACACACACAUUUAAUUUUAAUAAGGUCAGGCAGUAUGUGUUUUGUUUGGAAUGCACUUUGCACCCAUGAGCGAAAGCCAGCGAUGUGAAUCUAAAACUACCUGGGCCUAAUGAGGAAAGGCUUUGAAACCCGGGCAUUUUCUAAAUGUUCAGGGACAGAAAACAAAGUCACCUCUUCUUAACAAAAACUAUUCUCUUUAGGGGGCUCCAGGGCUGUUGAGAUCGAUUUGGGCCAGGGACUGGCCAGAUGUUUGUUCUUUUGAAUGGUGUCCCCACUUCCCCUUUCUGGGGACCUCAGUGGACUUCUUUUGCAUUUCCUGGCUCUGUUUCACACAAUGCUUAGAGCUUCAAAUCCCACUUCUCUGCAGUUACUCCAAGGUUUAAGCUGUGGGAAAGUCACUCAGGCUAUGUGGCGGGUGCCAGCUUUGCUUCUGCUGCUGUACUGCUGUGUCAACACACCACUUCUCUGUGCCUCUGUAAAUUGAUAUAACAACGGCAACCACAAAACCGACUGCCAAGUCAGUAUGUGAUUUACAAAUAUGUCCAGAGACCAUUCAGUAUCAGUAUCAGCCAGCAGAUAAAGCACGGGGCUUAGAGUCAGAGAGCCUGGGGUCUUAUUCCAGCUCUACCACUUUUAUCAGUUGUGUGAUCCUAGGCAAGUGACUUAAACCUUCUGUGUCUCAAUUUCCCUAUCUGUGAAAAAUGGGUCUAAAGUUAGUACUUACUGCAGAGGUUGAUGGGGGGAUUAAAUGAUGUGCAAAAUGCCUGGAACAGUGCAUGGUCCAUGGCAAGCCCUGGAUUCACAUUGGCUUUUAUGUUACGUUAGUUCCAGACUUUGCUAAAUCAGGCACUUCUAAAACCAGCCAGUUCUGCUGCUGCUGCUCAUGGCCAGGCUUCAGGAUCCUUGGGAACAACCUCUGCUAUUUAGCAGUCCUCCACGUCCACCACUCCAUGGAAGUAGCUGUCAUCAGAGCUGCCAAUGACUUCCCUGUGACCAUCUCCAAGAGGUUCUUAGCGCUCUAAUCCUUUCUGAGUCAUCUGCCACUUUGGAUAUCACUCCUUGGCAUCUUUUUCUCACUUUGACUCUUAAAGAAAUAUCCUGUACUUACUGAACUUCUUUCCCUAUGUUUUUAUUUUAUGUGUUUGCUCUCUGCCUCCCCACAUCCCCAACUCCCUACUCCACACUGGAAGUGUCAGUACUUGGCACAUCGUAGAUGCUCAAUAAAUGUUUGUGAACUGAUUUGAACUGUGUUGUUGAAGUAGUUCCUCAACUCUGUCCCUUUGUAUCAUUUUCUUGAUAUUUGAGCCCUUGCUGCUCUGCCUGGAAUCUCUGCUAUCAUGAAGCAAACCCUUCAACAUCUUCUCACUUAUAGUUCAUCUUUUUCUCUUUUUGAGCCUUGAAAUUCAUUUUAUUUUAUUUUGUAUAUUUUUUGAGACAGGAUCCCACUCUGUUGCCCAGGCUGGAGUGCAGUGGUGCAAUCAUGGCUCCCUGCAGCUUCGACCUCCCAGGCUCAGGUGAUCCUCCUGCCUCAGCCUCCCCGAGUAGCUGGGACUACAGGUGUGCACCAACACACCUAGCUGAUUUUAUGUAUGUUUUGUAGAGACAGGAGUUUGUCAUGUUGCCCAGGCUGGUCUUGAACUCCUGGGCUCAAGCGAUCCACCCACCUCAGCCUUCCAAAGUUUUGGGAUUAUAGGCAUGAGCCAACACAUCCAGCCUGAAAUUCUUUGUAAUUAAAUUAACCUGUCCCAAGUUUCCAAUUUUGGGAGGGAGGUAUAUUUUUAAGGUCUAAAUUUCAUUUUAUUCAGGAAACAGGAAUUAAGCCCCACCACACAUCAAAACUACAUACUAUUAUCCUAAAAAUAACUCCUCUUGAGGCAUGUAAGAUGCAUGUUAACAAGGGAAUCAUAUUCUCUGAGUGGCAGAACCCAACAUUUUAAUAUGCAUUUUAUGGGUGUGAUGGCACAUGCGUGUAGUCCCAGCUACUCAGGAGGCCGAGGUAGGAGGAUCACUUGAGCCCAAGAGUUCCAGGCUGCCGUGAACUAUGAUGGCACCUCUGCACUCUAGCCUGGGCAACAGAGCAAGAUGCUGUCUCUUAAAAAAUAAAAAAUAAAAUUGAUUUCUUUUCUUUUUUUUCUUUUUUGAGAUGGAGUCUCGCUCUUUCGCCCAGGCUGGAGUGCAAUGGUACAAUCUUGGCUCACUGCAACCUCCGCCUCCCAAGUUCAAGCAAUUCUCCUGCCUCAGCCUCCUGAGUAGCUGGGAUUACAGGCAUGUGUCACCAUGCCUGGCUAAUUUUUAUAUUUUUAGUAGAGACGAGGUUUCACCCUGUUGGUCAGGCUGGUCUUGAACUCCUGAUGUUGUGAUCCACCUGCCUCAGCCUCCCAAAGUGCUGGGAUUACAGGCAUGAGCCAUCGCGCCCCACCCAAAAUUGAUUUCUUAAAGACAGUGAAGUAUGAUAACUGUUGGUUUGAUCUUGCCCUGAAGCCGAAUAAAGGUUUGACCUAUGAGAAUCAAGGACAAUUAAAAUAUUAGCUUAUAGCAUAAAAAGAGAAGCAGACUUCCCCUUACAUGCACACACAUACACACACUCUCUUUCUGAAGUCAACUAUACAUAAUUUUUAAGACAUUACACAUUGGAUUGUUCCCACUAUCACGCGAUCUUGUAAUGAUCAGGACUGUCUUCUUUGUUACAUGUAGUAGGGACCAAGAUACUUUUAGGGCCUCAUGAAAAUGUUUGAUUUUAAUUUAUUUUAAAAUCAGGGCCAGGUGCAGUGGCACACACCUGUAAUCCCAGCACUUUGGGAGGCCAAGGUGGGAGGAUUGCUUGAGUCCAGGAGUUCAAGACCAGUUUGUGCAACGUGGCAAAACUGCAUCUCUACAAAAAAAAAAAAAAAAAAAAAAAAAAAAAAAAUUGCGUAGUGGUGCAUGCCUGUAGUCCCAACUACUUGGGAGGCUGAGGUGGGAGGAUCACUUGAGCCUGGGAAGCGGAGGUCGCAGUUAGUCAAGAUAGCUCCACUGCCCUCCAGCCUGGGUGACAGAGUGAGACCCUGUCUCAAAAAAACAAAUAAAUAAAAUCAGAACGAAAAAAUAUAAUAAUCACAAGUACAUAAGAACAAAUUCAUAUACUUUUUAAUUUUAUUUUUAAUGAAGAAAGGAGCCCACAAAGACAAAAAUACCCUCAGCAUUUCCAGGCACCACAAGAGUCACAAUGAGGCCCUAGUAAGGACACCAAUUCAGUUGAAGUUCAUGUAUUCAUACUGAGUACUCCUGGAAAUUUUCAUAUUUUAAAUUUAUAUAUUGCGCAAGACUUAGUCUUUGAUUUUCUAGUUUUUUCUAUUUAUACUAACACCUCAGAGACCUAAUACAUUUCAUGGCCUUUGUUUACUGUCUCUAUCGUAAUGACUUCCAAGUCCCUCUCUUCUCUAUUCUUGUGUUGGAGUUCUAAUUUUGUACUUCUAAGUGCCUGUUGGGUAUUUCCACCUAUGUAUCUCAUCGCUGGCUCAGCCGACAAACACAUCACUGAGCUCACCAUCUUCCCCUGUUCUUCGGUUUUCUCUCUUCAAUUUUCCUGUCUAUUAGAGUUCCUGCUAACUCUGUAGUCAUUAAUGAACCAACCACAAGCUUGUCUCCUUCUUCAUCCCCUUAUCUGAGGACCUGAUUGAGCCUCUGGUCCCAUGCCCACUGCCAUCCCUAUUGAAGUCUCACUGCCAGUCCCUCAGCCAAGCAUCCUUACUUCUCAUCGAGUUCCACAUGCAGACUCCUGACUGACUUCUCUGCAUUCCAGCUUCCUUGUGCGAUACAUUCCUGACCCUCCCCCAAUUGAUCUUUGUACUGCUUUCAUCAUUUUCCUCCUCUGCUCCAUAAUUCCUCCACACUUCAACCCAAACUCCUCACCCAGUUUAGAAAGCUCUGCUCACGUGGUUCCUCCCACUGUGGCCAAUGCAUCUCCCAACACAUUAACACCCACCAGAGGUGAUGAUUAAGGAGUCCCUUCACUCACGAACUAGACUUGCUGUCUUAGUCUUUUGUUUCUGCUCUUUCAUUCAUUCAUUUACUCCAUUUUUGGGGUAACUACUCUGUCCCAGGCACAGACACCUUAAAUGUUCCUCUAUUACCUAUUCCAACCCUGUACAGCUUUCAAAGCUCAGGUCAACUUCCAAUCCAUGAAGCCCAGGUCUCCCUUCUAUCACAAGUCUUUUUCCUCUGAACUCCUGGGAAGCUUAGAGACAUUGUCAAACAUUUAGGACUUAAACAUGUGACGUGAGAUUUCCUGACUGUGUCACGCAUGCUCUCCAGUCUGACUUGUUUGAGUUUCUGCAAAGAUCUUUACAGAAGAUCUAUCUUCUUACCACUCAGCUGCAGCUGGCAUCAAGCCCUGGCUGGACUAGUCAUGCUAACCCCUUGGUUAUUAAUCAUCGCCAUGAUUUUUCAUGUGUUUACUAUAGUAUGAUCCAGGCAUUGACUAUACUAGGCACUUUAUGAGGUUGUUAUUAUCCUCCGUUUUUUACAGAUGAGGAAAGUGAGGCUCAGAGGGGUUAAGUGACUUCUCCAGUUUUACAUAGUUUGGAAGUGGCUGACUGAGAAUUUGAAUAUAGGUCCUACAUAAUUCAAAUAUUGUGCUCUUGACCACUUAACUAAAUUAACUCUACUCUCUGAUUGAUUCAUAUAUGUUGAAAUCUACUCAUUCUCCUCCUAGUGUCAUUAUGUUUGUUUUUUCUCUCCUUUAUAUUUUUGAGGCCUGCUGCUCUAUCCUUUCCAGGAUCUACACUUAUGCUGGACCCACUAAGCUGUCCUAGAACAUCAUAGUAAAUGUUCACCAGAUAUUAAUUAUUUGAGUGAGAAUGGUUGUGAGCAUUGGGUACUCCCCCAGCCAGUACCCUUCUCUCUUGCAGUAGUAUAUUUUGUAGAUUAAAUAAAACUCAAGAUAAAAAAAAAAAUUAAUAAAUGACCAAUGGAAACAGAAAUUUGGAACAUAAAAGUAUUAUUUCAAAAUGAACACAUUAUAUGUAAAAGCUCACAACCAGGAAUUUCUUCAGUUGGGUUUGCAGCAAUGUUAUGUCACUAAUACUAUCUCUCUAUAUGGCCAAACCUGUAAAGCCUUAAUAUCUGAUUAUGGAGCACAUCUAGACUGUUAAAAAGCUUUCUAUAAUAUUAAUAAAAUCAAAUAAUAAAUAAAAAUUAAAUUGACUAAUCAUAGCAAUUUCAUUUUGAGAAUGUUUUGUAGGCUGAAGGCAAAUCCUUGAGAUAUUUUUGCAGAAGCGUCAUUGCAAAACAGAAUCUGCAGUAGAACUAUGUCAUCUUCUGGUUCUAAGCGUGCCCUCUCAUUGCUGGCAGAUGGCAAAUAUUUAUUUGCUUGCUAGCUCUUUAGUGGAACUGGUCUUCUGUUUCCAAUGUUGCCUCCUGUGACACAAACUGCCACCUAUCUCCCAAGGUUCUUUCUUUGUAACAGAACCCUAGUUUUUGGCUGGACUCAUUUCCCCAGUGGUAGAGGCUGCUGGCUGGUCAUGUCAUGAGCCCAGGUCUUCUUCUUGGGCACAACCAGAUGCCAUUUCUCAGCCUCCCUUGCAGUUAUAUGCAGCUGUGUGUUUGAGUUCUGGCCAUUAGUGAGUGGAAGUGAUGUGUCCCUUCUACUCACACUUCUGUAGUCCUGGCCUACAGAAACUCACGAUGGUUCUCUAUACUCUUUAUCUUUCCACAGCUUAAUGCAGAUAAGUAACAAGAUCUUGGAAGACAAGUGUUGAAGGUGAAAGAGGCACAAGAUAGAAGAAACCUGGGUCCUUAGAUCCUUGCUUGGAGGAAAACCACCUGCCAAUCCAGAACAUCAUUUUGGACUUCAUUUCAUAUUAGAUAUUAUGCUACCAAUGAGCAGGGACUAUGAUGAAUGUGUCUUUAGAACACCCAAUGAAGUGCCACUUGCCACAAGAAGCUAAGUCACAAUCUGAUGGCCAGAAAAGGCAAUCAUUCUUCCUACAGUUUUGUGCAUAAACCUUCCUGCCUGUCUGCUGGGGACCACCUAUGGGGAAAGGAAAACUUCUCUCUCAUGGCUCUCCUUUCCCAGGAAAACUUUAGCUCCUGUUGAGACCAACACCUUCCCUGGACAAUGCAGAGUGAAGGGAUUAGGCCUAUCACAAUUUUCCAUUCAUGAUGUUGGGUCAAGCAAGGCAUCACACAGAAUGAAUAGAAACAGAAACAGCCCCACAUGUGAAGUAGGAGCCAUGCUGGAAUGAACAAGGGCCGCGGUAUGGGUGAGUUACACGGUACAGAGCACAGGGGCUGACUGCUUUGUGCUCUUCCAGGUGGGAUCAUUACUUGCCAGCCUUCCAGCUGAUGCCAGUGGCAACAGCACGACAGGCUGAACUGGAUUCUUUAUGACUAUGUAUUCAUUAGGGGGAAAAAGCACUUCCAAUGCAAAUGAUUGAAAUGGAAACAAGAUGUGCACUCUGCUGCCUAAAUGAAAGCUCUACCAGGUAGGCCAUUCAAACUCAAUUAAGAGUAGCAAAACAGGAUCUAUCAGGACAGUGGCUGUAACCCCUGUCACAGAGAAUGGACAGUGAGCGGUCCAAAUGGAUUGGGGGGCAUGAAUGGCACCUGACUUACAGCAGGAGCUCAGCACAUUUACUCUCUUUGCCACUUCACUGGAACAAGGAGAAAAAGACAUUAGGAUGAAGGAUAAUGUGUGAUACACACAUAAAGAUGAAAGCGAGAGGGACACAUGCAAUGUCACUUACUGGAAGGACCACUUUAGGCUGCUCUGUCCUCUCUCCCCUGAAAACAUGUUCCACAUUGUUUUAACCAUCUGUGGCCCACUCUGGAGCUCAAGGAACCCUGGCCUUUCUGCUUUAUUGUGAGCACAGCCAUAUGAAACUGUAAUCUGGCAGCUGAAGGGGAAAGUACUUUUACUGUCUCUGCUGAGAAAGGGUUUGGAUGAAUCGAAUCCCCUGUUAUGCAUGGAAUUGUACCCUCUAGAAAGCUCUGUUGAUGACCCAACCCACGGUACCUGUGAAUGUGACCUUAUUUGAAAAUAUGGUCUUAUAAAUGUAAUCAAGCAAAGAUGAGGUGAUGACUGAAUUAGUGUGGGCCUCCGCCAACAUGACUGGUGUCCUUAUGAGAAGCAAGGAAGAGACAUAAGGAGAACAUGGUGUGACAAUUGAGACAGAGAUUGGAGUGAUGCAUCUACAAGCCAAGAAAUGUCAAGGGCCGUGAGCCACACCAGAAGCUAAGAGAAAGGCAUGGGACUGACCCUCCCCUAGAGCCAUCAGAAAGAGCCUGACCCUGGCGGCACCUUGCUUUUGGACUUCUAGACUCCAGAAUUAUGAGAAUAAAUUUGUGUUGCUUUAAGCCACUCAGUUUGUGGUAAUUUGUUAUGACAGUUCUAAGAAACUAAUCCACCCUGCUAAAGAGUAAAUGUCUGAUGCAAAACUCACUACAUGGAUGAAAAGGCUGAGAUAUUCCGAAGAGUCAUAAUGAACUGUGCCGUCAUCUACAAAGGAAGUGCAGCACUGCAACAACUCAAGAUAGAUCCUGGAGACAUGGUGGGACAGAUGUGCCUACCAGACUAGGAGCACUUUCAGGACAGCGUCAUGCCUUGUUCUCCUCCACAUCCCUCCCUCUGUGCCUGAAAACCAGAAAUGCUCAAUUAAAUGUUGAAAAUGUCAAUAAAUUCAUAGGAAAACGAUCUCAGAUAAGUCAAUAACGUUAUUUUAUUUUAUUUUUUUUUUGAAACAGAGUCUUGCUUUGUCACCCAGGCUGGAGUGUAGUGGCACGAUCUCAGCUCACUGCAACCUCUGCCUCCCAGGUUCAAGCGAUUCUCCUGCCUCGGCCCCCUGAGUAGCUAGGAUUAUAGGCAUGCACCACCACGUCCAGCUAAUUUUUGUAUUUUUAGUGGAGACGGAGUUUCACCAUGUUGGUCAGGCUGGUCUCGAACUCCUGACCUCGUGAUCCACCCACCUCGGCUUCCCAAAUUGCUGGGAUUACAGGUGUGAGCCACCGCACCCAGCCAUGAUUAACCUUAUUUUAUGAUGUCAUGUAAGUCCUUACCAUCACCUUCCAUGAAGACGUAACUGACAAAGACAUCUGAUUUGAUGCUUUCAUUGGAGAAACCCACCCUUGGCCAUUGAAGAGCACAACUUUGGGUUUCUUUGAGAUUUAAUCUGGUCCUUGGAUUCCCAAAUGGCAGACGUGACCAGUAACAGCUUUUUACAAAUCUUCAAAUCCCACUGACACUGGGAUUCUGCCCCUCAGAUGCGGCUGUGGUUUUUUCACUGGCAGGGCAGGAUAUGUUACUCUCCAUUUAACAUCGGCCCACCCAAAGUGUUAGUUAGCCUGCUGGUUCAUACAUGAAUCCAUCUGAAAUGCCUCCGAGUCUCCAGGUGAAGGGUGCUGCCAUCAGCAGCAGCCAAUAAAUGAAAUAAUACCAAAUAUAAAAUCAGCCACAUUGGUCUCCUGGAGGUAAAUAGAGCACAGGGGCGUUUCAUUUACUGAAAGGCCAGAAUUGCGAUACCUGUAAAUGUUGAAUGUGAAUGUGUUUUAUAAAGUGUAAAGGGCUGUAAAGAAGUCAGUUAUUAUGUUUAUUAUUGCUCCUGCUCUGUACACUUGAUCAAAUGACAAACCCAAAGGCUCACCUCUCUGGGCUCCGGUUUCCUUACUCAAAUGAGGGAAUUAUGUUUAAUAUCCCAAGCUCCCAACUAAAUCUUUUUUUUUUCCCUUUGACUCUGUGAAUCUAUCAGCAGGAACUUCCAUCCAAAUUCCUGAAAUGUGGGAAUAUAUUUGAUGACGCUGUUUACAUAUAAUAUUAAAUUAUUUUGCAUAAAUUUUUCAGAAUAUGUUUUGUAUAACAUAGAAGAUGAAGGGGGAAAAAGUAAAAUAAGAUGGGAAAGUAGGCCAUAAGGAAGGAUAAGGAGAAACGCUUAAGAAAAUCCACCUAUUAUAAUAAUUAAAAUUCAGCUUACCUGGAAAGGGGAGGAGAGCAUUUAUGAUUAACAUGAAUAUAGUCUGUGCUCAUUGCAAAGUAAAUUUUCAGAAAAAAAGGGCAAAAUCUGAUUAUUUUAAUCAUCAGAUUAAAUGCAAUUAGAAAUCCCAACUACCUUUUAAAGUAAACAGCAAACUUAGUAUUUUACUACAUAAAAGAAACAAUUGAAAUAAUCCUAACUUCAGAUUAUCGUUGCUUAUAACAGAACACUAUAUUUGAAAAUGAUCCUCAUUGAGUUUUUUGGAUUCAGCAACUUUUUCUGUGGCUAAAAAUGUCCCUUGAGUUUCUGAAAUCUGCUAGAAUGCUGGGAAGAGCUGUGCAGAAAUACCUCCAAAGGGUCAGAAAGUAAUUUAGGAUUUUUAAUUCAAUGGAAUCAAUCUUUCUUGUGUAUGUUUACUUACUUUUUUAGACAAUAGGCCAAUGAUUGUAGGGUUUGUUCUAGCCUUGAAACCAACUCUCUGCAGAGCAAUUCCUGUUUCCACAAAGGGUGCAUCAGGAUGCAUGGGACCCCCGGAUCACAGGCCCCACGUGUGAACGAAGCAACACAGACCAUGGAUAACAGAGACCUCUCUAGGAUGGAGUCUCGCUUUGUCGCCCAGCCUGGAGUGCAAUGGCGCGAUCCCGGCUCACUGCAACCUCUGCCCACCAGAUUCAAGUGAUUCUCCUGCCUCAGCCUCCUCAGUAGCUGGGACUACAGGCAUGCGCCACCACGCCUGGCUAAUUUUUGUAUUUUUAGUAGAGACAGGGUUUCGCCAUGUUGGGCAGGCUGAUCUCAAACUCCUGACCUCAAGUGAUCCGCCCACCUCGGCCUCCCAAAGUGCUGGGAUUACACAUGAGAGCCACCGCACCUGGCCUAUGUUCACUAUCUGGGUAACAAGUAUACUAGAAGCCCAAUCCCACUGUUAUGCAAUAUACCCAUGCCUAUGUACGUGUACCCCCUGAAAACAUGCAUAUGUACCCCCAAAUCUAAAAUAAAAUAAAAUAGAGAUGCAGAAAAGAAUAAUUUAAAAAAUAUUUUGAGAAAUGUAUAACAAGAGCUGUAAAAGUGUUUAUAUUCCCUUGUCCUAGUAAUUCUGCUUGUGGAUAUUUAUCUUAACAAAAUCAUCAGAAAUGUGUAGAAUGAUUUAUGGAUAAGCAUGUUCACUGAAGCAUUCCUUAGACUAUAGGAAAAUUUGGGGAAAAAACCCAAUAUACAAAAAUGAGGAAACACUUAAAUUAAUCAUAGUCCAUUCAGAUGAUGGAAUGCUGUGUAGAUAUGUAAAAAUCAUAUUUUCAGAGAUGGCUGUUGAUCAAUGAAAAUGCCCAAUCUAUAACAUUCCAUGAAAAAGACAGAUAUACAGCCAUAUAUUCCAUACAAUUAUAAUUUUAAAUAUGUAUGAAUGUGUGUGUAUAUAUAAUAUAUGUGAAAAAAUUGGAAAGAAAUACACUAAAAUGUUAACUCAUUAUCUCUAAGUGGCAGGAUUAUGAGAUUACAGGUGAUUGUUUCUGGUUCUUUGUAUUUUUUAGUAUUUUUUUUUAUUUUUUUGAGAUGGAUUCUCACUCUGUUGCCCAGGCUGGAGUGCAGUGGCAUGAUCUCAGCUCACUGCAACCUCUGCCUCCCAGGUUCAAGCGAUUCUCCUGCCUCUACCUCCCGAGUAGCUGGGACUACAGGUGCGCACCACCGUGCCCAGAUAAUUUUUGUAUUUUUAGUGGAGAUGGGGUUUCAUCAUGUUGGCCAGGAUGGUCUCGAUCUCUUGACCUCAUGAUCCACCCUGCUUGGCCUCCCAAACUGUUGGGAUUACAGGCGUGAGCCACUGCGCCUGGCCUAUAUUUUAGUGUUCUAAGAUUUUUCUACAAUGACUCUGUAUUGCUUUUAAUGUCAAAAAUCUCAAUAAUUUUGAAGGUUAUGGUAUUUAUAUACUUUUUAAAAAAAUGACGAAUGUUCUCCCUAAAUCAGAAAUGUGGACACCGUGUUUUGGCUUUAAUGUAGUGAGGUGGAGUAUUAUGAUUAAAUACUGUGUUUUCAAGCAUUAAUGACUCAAAGAGCAGGUACUUACAGAGCACCUAUUAUUGCCAUCAACCAGUGUUAUUGAGCACUUACUCAAUAAGUGUUGGCCUCUGACUUUACGCCUAAGAGUCAGGAGACCACAAAAAAGCAACAAUGUCAGGUCUGCAAGGUGAAGGCAAGAAGCUCAUGUUCUAGGUACUUGUGACUGUCCUGUAAUGCUAAAGAAUGAACCAUUACCAAAGAUUUGGCAAACUCGCCCAAGCUUACUCCUAAGGAGUCUAACCUUUGCCCAAGUAUCUAGGACUCAGGCCCACCUGCUUAGCCUGGUCUCACUGAAGUGUGGAGGCAAAGCAUUUGCAGCUUCAUCAUCUUCCAUUUUGUCUCAUAAGGAAAUUGUGUUAGUCCAAGAGGCUUGGUGUGUUACAUGGUUGUACAGCUUAGUGCUUUCUUAGCAUUCUGUUUAAGUGCUGACAACUUGAUAUUUUCAUCAAUGGUUGCUAUAUUUCUCCAAUGUUAGGUUGACAGGCUAAUAAUUUCAGAAGUCAAUUUCUCCCUCUCUCUCUCUUCUCCCAGUUUACAUAUUUCUAUUUUCCAAUUCCUUUAUCUGCAUUUUGUAAAUACCUCAAAAUAGUGGAAGGCAAGGCCUCUAGGAUCACUUGGCCCAAUCCCCAUAUAAUUGGAUCCUUAGGGCUUGCUAUAUCUUUAAAGAAAUUGAGGUCACCUUUUGUCACCAAGAAUUAAGCACCUGUUGUGUGACUGAUGGAGAUCUGUACACAGAGCACAUUGCCCAGGGCAGGGGUGAUUUGGUUACAGGCAGCCUCUCAAUGUAUGAUAAAAGUUGGGAUCAGGUUGUAAACAUUUUGCUCACUGUAGCAGAAAGCUCUCUGUGAACGGAGAACUGUCUAAACAGGGUGGUUGGCCACAGAAGCUGCCCAGGGAUGCACCUCCUUUCCACAUUAGCCCAUGGCCUUUCCAGCCCUGAAAUCUGAGUUGCAUGUGAGUCACUUAGACAGGCCAUCUGUCAAUUAUUAAGCGACAUCAGUGGGCCCAGCAAUUCCAUUCUGCGUAGUGCAAAGGUCCUCCACACAUUCCAGGUCUAUACCAUCAAAGUGGCUAUUUUUCUCAACCUAUCCCUGCCCUUUAAGAAAAUGGGGGUCAUUUAUUUCCAGGGAUCACUAUUUACACCCCAUUGGCAGGUAGUGGAGCCCAGUGGUUAAUAAACAACCUUGUUUUAAAUCCCAUCUCUGUUGUUUGCAAGCUGUGUGUCUUUCAGAAACUUUACUUAAAUUUCUUGAGCAUCAGUUUCCUCACAAGGGUGUGGUCAAGUGAUAAUCAAGUAUUUGUACUUUAACCCUGUACCUGGCUGAUAGCAAGCCCUCAGAGAAGAAUUAACUUAGAGUUUUUAUACAUUCCCUCCAGUACAAUGUUCCUAACAUACAAGGGGCAUAUGUGUGUAUUAUGAGUGGGAAGAAGGAAGGAAGGCUGCAAUUGAUAAGGCUUGCAUUCAACAUUGCUGUAGUCAAACUCUCUUUCCUUAAGAAGAUCUGGAUGUGCCAACAUUUCUUAUAUAUCAUAUGUGGAGGUGACUUAGGUUUUUCUUUCAAUACUUCAUCAUUUGAAAGAGCAUUUGGUGAUAAUGAGCAGGUUCUGAAGUCUGUGAACUAAACUAAAAGUAAAAAUAAAUGGGACGGUGAAAUUUUGUUUGUGCCUUAAGGGAACUCCCUUUUACCCUUCCACUAUGUUGAUGAUGU